AGCGAACGCUGGCGGCAGGCCUAACACAUGCAAGUCGAGCGCCCAGCAAUGGGAGCGGCAGACGGGAUAGUAACACGUGGGAACGUACCUUUCAGUUCGGAACAACCCAGGGAAACUUGGGCUAAUACCGAAUACGUCCGUAAGGAGAAAGAUUUAUCGCUGAAAGAUCGGCCCGCGUCUGAUUAGCUAGUUGGUGAGGUAAUGGCUCACCAAGGCGACGAUCAGUAGCNGGUCUGAGAGGAUGAUCAGCAUCACUGGGACUGAGACACGGCCCAGACUCCUACGGGAGGCAGCAGUGGGGAAUAUUGGACAAUGGGCGCAAGCCUGAUCCAGCCAUGCCGCGUGGAUGAUGAAGGCCUUAGGGUUGUAAAGUCCUUUCGGCGGGGAAGAU
rnacentral:rRNA from 1 species